UACGUAGGGUGCGAGCGUUAAUCGGAAUUACUGGGCGUAAAGCGUGCGCAGGCGGUAAUGUAAGACAGAUGUGAAAUCCCCGGGCUUAACCUGGGACCUGCAUUUGUGACUGCAUUGCUGGGGUGCGGCAGAGGGGGAUGGAAUUCCGCGUGUAGCAGUGAAAUGCGUAGAUAUGCGGAGGAACACCGAUGGCGAAGGCAAUCCCCUGGGCCUGCACUGACGCUCAUGCACGAAAGCGUGGGGAGCAAACAGG
rnacentral:rRNA from 1 species